rnacentral:rRNA from 1 species
GUCUGUAUGAAGUUAUAUAUGGUUUAGCCUGCCCACUGAGAUAUUUAAAGGCCGCAGUAUACUAACUGUGCAAAGGUAGCAUAAUAAUUUGUUUUUUAAUUGGAAGCUUGAAYGAAUGGUUGGACGAAGAAAAAUCUGUUUCUAGUUUAGAUUUAAAAUUUUACUUUUAAGUUAAAAGGCUUAAAUAUUUUUAAAAGACGAUAAGACCCUAUAAAACUUUAUAAAAAUUUUUUAUUUGUUUUUUUUUUUGUGCUAAGACCAAAAAUAUUAGUUUUUAUUAUGUUGGGGAGACAGGAAUAAAAGUUAUAUUGAACUGUUCUUAUUUUAAGACAAAAAUGAUUGGGAGGGAGAAAAGAUCUUCUACUUAGAGAUUGAAAGUUAAAGUUACUUUAGGGAUAACAGCGUAAUUUUUUUAGAGAGUUCUAAUCGAAAAAAAAGUUUGCRACCUCGAUGUUGAAUUAAAAUUUCUUUUUGGUGUAGCAGUUAAAAAAGUAAGUCUGUUCGACUUUUAAAAUUUU